rnacentral:piRNA from 1 species
UGAUAUUUUUGUGUGCCAAUU